GAGAAAGAGGAGCUGGAGGGUUUGAAAAUCCGAUUAGCGUUGUUGGAGAAAGAGAGAGAAAGGAUUAGGGGAGAGCUGAAAAUCGAGAAGAAAGAGCGAGCAGGCGAAGUAAGAGAGGAAAAGGAAGAGGAACAAGAGAAGGGUAACAGCUGU